AACGAACGCUGGCGGCAGGCCUAAAACAUGCAAGUCGAGCGGGCAUAGCAAUAUGUCAGCGGCGGACGGGUGAAUAACACGUGGGAACAUGCCCUUUGGUACGGAACAACUCAGGGAAACUUGAGCUAAUACCGUAUGUGCCGGUAACGGGAAAGAUUUAUCGCCAAAGGAUUGGCCCGCGUCCGAUUAGCUAGUUGGUGAGGUAACGGCUCACCAAGGCGACGAUCGGUAGCUGGUUUGAGAGAACGAUCAGCCACACUGGGACUGAGACACGGCCCAGACUCCUACGGGAGGCAGCAGUUGGGAAUCUUGGACAAUGGGGGAAACCCUGAUCCAGCCAUGCCGCGUGAGCGAUGAAGGCCUUGGUUGUAAG
rnacentral:rRNA from 1 species